rnacentral:pre_miRNA from 11 species
UCUCUCUGUCUUCUGUAUGUACCCUGUAGAUCCGAAUUUGUGUAAAAGAAACUGCGUCACAAAUUCGCGUCUAGGGGAAUAUGUAGUAGACACAAACGCUACG